rnacentral:rRNA from 1 species
GUGUCAGCAGCCGCGGUAACACGUAGGGGGCGAGCGUUGUUCGGAAUUACUGGGCGUAAAGGGCAUGUAGGCGGUCUUGUAAGCUUGGCGUGAAAGACCACGGCUCAACCGUGGGAUUGCGUUGAGAACUGCGAGGCUUGAGUGACGGAGAGGGAGCUAGAAUUCCUGGUGUAGGGGUGGAAUCUGUAGAGAUCAGGAAGAAUACCAAUGGCGAAGGCAAGCUCCUGGCCGAUGACUGACGCUGAGGUGCGAAAGUGUGGGGAUCAAACAGGAUUAGAUACCCUGGUAGUCCACACUGUAAACGAUGUGCACUAGGUGCUGGUACGGAUGUAUCAGUGCCGUAGCUAACGUGAUAAGUGCACCGCCUGGGGAGUAUGCUCGCAAGGGUGAA